AACGCUAGCUACAGGCUUAACACAUGCAAGUCGAGGGGAAACGACAUCGAAAGCUUGCUUUUGAUGGGCGUCGACCGGCGCACGGGUGAGUAACGCGUAUCCAACCUGCCCACCACUUGGGGAUAACCUUGCGAAAGUAAGACUAAUACCCAAUGAUAUCUCUAGAAGACAUCUGAAAGAGAUUAAAGAUUUAUCGGUGAUGGAUGGGGAUGCGUCUGAUUAGCUUGUUGGCGGGGUAACGGCCCACCAAGGCAACGAUCAGUAGGGGUUCUGAGAGGAAGGUCCCCCACAUUGGAACUGAGACACGGUCCAAACUCCUACGGGAGGCAGCAGUGAGGAAUAUUGGUCAAUGGGCGAGAGCCUGAACCAGCCAAGUAGCGUGCAGGAUGACGGCCCUAUGGGUUGUAAACUGCUUUUAUACAGGAAUAAAGUUAGCCACGUGUGGUUAUUUGUAGGUACUGUAUGAAUAAGGACCGGCUAAUUCCGUGCCAGCAGCCGCGGUAAUACGGAAGGUCCAGGCGUUAUCCGGAUUUAUUGGGUUUAAAGGGAGCGUAGGCCGUCUGUUAAGCGUGUUGUGAAAUGUAGAUGCUCAACAUCUGAAUUGCAGCGCGAACUGGCAGACUUGAGUGUGCGCAACGUAGGCGGAAUUCGUGGUGUAGCGGUGAAAUGCUUAGAUAUCACGAAGAACUCCGAUUG
rnacentral:rRNA from 1 species